GAAGUUCAGGUGCAUUGCUGGCUUUGCCUGUUUCUUCCAGAUGGUCAGCUGUGGCGCCUUGGACUUGGACCCUGCCUGCCAUCUCCAAGUCCAGGGCCGUCUCGGAGACCUCAGAGAGCCCCCCACCCCAACCAAGUGUGAGCCAGAAGAGAAUGUAUGCCCAUCUUAAACAGCUGGAACAUGAUGAGAAACUGAAGCACCAAGGGAAGAAGCAUAUUGAUCAAGGAGCCACAGCUAGACAUUGCUGGAGGCGGAGAUGUGAAGAGAAUCAGUGGAUUGAAAUCACAACCUCAGAUGGCUACCAUGAGGCUAACCUCAGUUUAAAGGACUUCAGAUUUCCACACUGAAUAUCUGGGAGGUUCCUAGUCAACAAGAGUCCACUUUCUGGGUGUGGAUGGAAUAAGAACACAGGGUGAUGGAUGGUGUCAAGGAUAUUUCACAACAGCCACUCAAGAGGCUUGUGAACUGAACCAGCCUCUUACUGGAGAUGCCAUUUCUGGACCAGUGUGCUAAUGUUUCCCGGAUCCAGUGACCCUCCUCCUGCACUUGGCUGAUCCUGUUUCCUCAUCCCAGACAAUGAGAGUUGAAACUGGAGGAGAGCCCUUCUGUGCCCAUGAACCCAGCAGAAAUUUUAUAAGAAAAGCCAGUGGGCUCCCAGACAAAGUUAAAAAGGUA
ensembl:lncRNA